rnacentral:rRNA from 1 species
AGCGUACACGGUGGAUGCCCUGGCAGUCAGAGGCGAUGAAGGACGUGCUAAUCUGCGAUAAGCGUCGGUAAGGUGAUAUGAACCGUUAUAACCGGCGAUUUCCGAAUGGGGAAACCCAGUGUGUUUCGACACACUAUCAUUAACUGAAUCCAUAGGUUAAUGAGGCGAACCGGGGGAACUGAAACAUCUAAGUACCCCGAGGAAAAGAAAUCAACCGAGAUUCCCCCAGUAGCGGCGAGCGAACGGGGAGCAGCCCAGAGCCUGAAUCAGUGUGUGUGUUAGUGGAAGCGUCUGGAAAGGCGCGCGAUACAGGGUGACAGCCCCGUACACAAAAAUGCACAUGCUGUGAGCUCGAUGAGUAGGGCGGGACACGUGGUAUCCUGUCUGAAUAUGGGGGGACCAUCCUCCAAGGCUAAAUACUCCUGACUGACCGAUAGUGAACCAGUACCGUGAGGGAAAGGCGAAAAGAACCCCGGCGAGGGGAGUGAAAAAGAACCUGAAACCGUGUACGUACAAGCAGUGGGAGCACGCUUAGGCGUGUGACUGCGUACCUUUUGUAUAAUGGGUCAGCGACUUAUAUUCUGUAGCAAGGUUAACCGAAUAGGGGAGCCGAAGGGAAACCGAGUCUUAACUGGGCGUUAAGUUGCAGGGUAUAGACCCGAAACCCGGUGAUCUAGCCAUGGGCAGGUUGAAGGUUGGGUAACACUAACUGGAGGACCGAACCGACUAAUGUUGAAAAAUUAGCGGAUGACUUGUGGCUGGGGGUGAAAGGCCAAUCAAACCGGGAGAUAGCUGGUUCUCCCCGAAAGCUAUUUAGGUAGCGCCUCGUGAAUUCAUCUCCGGGGGUAGAGCACUGUUUCGGCAAGGGGGUCAUCCCGACUUACCAACCCGAUGCAAACUGCGAAUACCGGAGAAUGUUAUCACGGGAGACACACGGCGGGUGCUAACGUCCGUCGUGAAGAGGGAAACAACCCAGACCGCCAGCUAAGGUCCCAAAGUCAUGGUUAAGUGGGAAACGAUGUGGGAAGGCCCAGACAGCCAGGAUGUUGGCUUAGAAGCAGCCAUCAUUUAAAGAAAGCGUAAUAGCUCACUGGUCGAGUCGGCCUGCGCGGAAGAUGUAACGGGGCUAAACCAUGCACCGAAGCUGCGGCAGCGACGCUGAUGCGUUGUUGGGUAGGGGAGCGUUCUGUAAGCCUGUGAAGGUGUGCUGUGAGGCAUGCUGGAGGUAUCAGAAGUGCGAAUGCUGACAUAAGUAACGAUAAAGCGGGUGAAAAGCCCGCUCGCCGGAAGACCAAGGGUUCCUGUCCAACGUUAAUCGGGGCAGGGUGAGUCGACCCCUAAGGCGAGGCCGAAAGGCGUAGUCGAUGGGAAACAGGUUAAUAUUCCUGUACUUGGUGUUACUGCGAAGGGGGGACGGAGAAGGCUAUGUUGGCCGGGCGACGGUUGUCCCGGUUUAAGCGUGUAGGCUGGUUUUCCAGGCAAAUCCGGAAAAUCAAGGCUGAGGCGUGAUGACGAGGCACUACGGUGCUGAAGCAACAAAUGCCCUGCUUCCAGGAAAAGCCUCUAAGCAUCAGGUAACAUCAAAUCGUACCCCAAACCGACACAGGUGGUCAGGUAGAGAAUACCAAGGCGCUUGAGAGAACUCGGGUGAAGGAACUAGGCAAAAUGGUGCCGUAACUUCGGGAGAAGGCACGCUGAUAUGUAGGUGAAGUCCCUCGCGGAUGGAGCUGAAAUCAGUCGAAGAUACCAGCUGGCUGCAACUGUUUAUUAAAAACACAGCACUGUGCAAACACGAAAGUGGACGUAUACGGUGUGACGCCUGCCCGGUGCCGGAAGGUUAAUUGAUGGGGUCAGCGCAAGCGAAGCUCUUGAUCGAAGCCCCGGUAAACGGCGGCCGUAACUAUAACGGUCCUAAGGUAGCGAAAUUCCUUGUCGGGUAAGUUCCGACCUGCACGAAUGGCGUAAUGAUGGCCAGGCUGUCUCCACCCGAGACUCAGUGAAAUUGAACUCGCUGUGAAGAUGCAGUGUACCCGCGGCAAGACGGAAAGACCCCGUGAACCUUUACUAUAGCUUGACACUGAACAUUGAGCCUUGAUGUGUAGGAUAGGUGGGAGGCUUUGAAGUGUGGACGCCAGUCUGCAUGGAGCCGACCUUGAAAUACCACCCUUUAAUGUUUGAUGUUCUAACGUUGACCCGUAAUCCGGGUUGCGGACAGUGUCUGGUGGGUAGUUUGACUGGGGCGGUCUCCUCCUAAAGAGUAACGGAGGAGCACGAAGGUUGGCUAAUCCUGGUCGGACAUCAGGAGGUUAGUGCAAUGGCAUAAGCCAGCUUGACUGCGAGCGUGACGGCGCGAGCAGGUGCGAAAGCAGGUCAUAGUGAUCCGGUGGUUCUGAAUGGAAGGGCCAUCGCUCAACGGAUAAAAGGUACUCCGGGGAUAACAGGCUGAUACCGCCCAAGAGUUCAUAUCGACGGCGGUGUUUGGCACCUCGAUGUCGGCUCAUCACAUCCUGGGGCUGAAGUAGGUCCCAAGGGUAUGGCUGUUCGCCAUUUAAAGUGGUACGCGAGCUGGGUUUAGAACGUCGUGAGACAGUUCGGUCCCUAUCUGCCGUGGGCGCUGGAGAACUGAGGGGGGCUGCUCCUAGUACGAGAGGACCGGAGUGGACGCAUCACUGGUGUUCGGGUUGUCAUGCCAAUGGCACUGCCCGGUAGCUAAAUGCGGAAGAGAUAAGUGCUGAAAGCAUCUAAGCACGAAACUUGCCCCGAGAUGAGUUCUCCCUGACUCCUUGA